AAAGGAAGGAGCUCUUCACCCAGUGUGGGGUAUGGUAUCCCUAGAGAAGGUGACUCUGCGGCUGAGCUUGAAGGAAGAGAAUUGGUAGGUGACAAAGAAGAGAUCGAAGACGACUGAUUGACAGAGCCUGAGUCAACUGCUAAUGAGCUCUUGCUGAGUAAGGAAUGAGAAGGAUGUUUGGUGUCCCAAAGACCAUAAAACUCAACAAUAAGAAAAUAACCAACCAGAUUAAAAAGUGAGCCAAAAAUUAUAACAGACACUUCACCAAAGAAAAUGUAGAUGGCAAAUAACCAUAUGAAAACAUGCUCCAUAUCAUAGUUCAUCAGAUAAAUGUAAAUGAAAACAGCAAUGAGAUACCACCACACACCUAUCAGAAUGACCAAACUCCAUAACAUCAACACCACCAAAUGCUGGCAA
rnacentral:sRNA from 1 species